UCAUCUCUUUGUUAUUUAUAAACUUCAUCUGGUGUAGGUUAAUGGAUCACUUGCUCGGAAGGCAAUAAGAGAACUCAUGGCUGGAGGUUUGAUCAGGAUGGUCUCUAUUCAUGCAAGCCAGCAGAUCUACAUCGGGGUGACAAAUAAGGAAUGCUCCUGGAUGUGAUGCUAUCCACACAACAAAAGUUGAGACACCACUUGAAUCUGACACUUUUUUGCCCAUGGUUUAUACAUCUGUCUUCCAAUCAUGGUACUCGUCCUUUUGCAUCAUUGAAAAUGACAACCAGUAACUACUUAUAUCCAUGUAGGAUGUUAUGCAGUGGUUUUCUGCCUAGUAAAAAUUUUUAAGCUGCUUA